GUGCCAGCAGCCGCGGUAAUACGUAGGGUGCGAGCGUUAAUCGGAAUUACUGGGCGUAAAGCGUGCGCAGGCGGAUUGUUAAGCAAGACGUGAAAUCCCCGGGCUUAACCUGGGAAUGGCGUUUUGAACUGGCAGUCUAGAGUGCGUCAGAGGGGGGUGGAAUUCCACGUGUAGCAGUGAAAUGCGUAGAGAUGUGGAGGAACACCGAUGGCGAAGGCAGCCCCCUGGGAUGACACUGACGCUCAUGUACGAAAGCGUGGGUAGCAAACAGGAUUAGAAACCCUUGUAGUCC
rnacentral:rRNA from 1 species